rnacentral:rRNA from 1 species
GUUAAACGGCCGCGGUACCCUAACCGUGCGAAGGUAGCGCAAUCACUUGUUCUUUAAAUGAGGACUAGUAUGAAUGGCAUCACGAGGGUUUCACUGUCUCCCCCUUUUAAUCAAUGAAACUGAUCUUCCCGUGAAGAAGCGGGAAUAAACAUAUAAGACGAGAAGACCCCAUGGAGCUUUAAACCCAGUAUCAACUACACUUACUACACCACACAAGAUUAGUAGACAUGACACCUGGUUUUCGGUUGGGGUGACCACGGAGCAAAACAAAACCUCCAUGAUGAAAGGAAUUUAUUCCUAAUCUAAGAGCCACAGCUCAAAGAAUCAACAAACUGACAUUAAUUGACCCAAAUAUUUUGAUCAACGAACCAAGUUACCCUGGGGAUAACAGCGCAAUCCAUUUCAAGAGCUCCUAUCGACAAAUGGGUUUACGACCUCGAUGUUGGAUCAGGGUAUCCCAGUGGUGCAGCCGCUACUAAAGGUUCGUUUGUUCAACGAUUAAAACCC